UCCAUUUCACAUUGGAGGAAAAAUUUAAAUGAACCUGGGGGUUAAUAACACAUGUGUACUGAGUCAACCGUUCUCUGGGAUAUAUUUUCAUGCUAAUCUAUUGUGACCAGCUUUAGUGCAAACCGCUAAUUAGCUCAUGGUGCUAGUCGUUGGGGCGAUAAGAAAAGUAAAAAGAAGUGGCUGUUUCUAUACCACUAACAAGGCUCAAAAUAGCACCACACUUCCACGGUAACAUAAUGAGGGUCACUAUUUGGACACCAAAGCAUUCAGUACUUUGUAAAUGUACAGA